GUACGGGGGAGCAAGCGUUGUUCGGAUUUACUGGGCGUAAAGGGCGCGUAGGCGGCCACCGCAAGUCGACUGUGAAAUCUCCGGGCUUAACCCCGGAAAGGUCAGCCGAUACUGCGGGGCUAGAGUGCAGAAGGGCAACUGGAAUUCUCGGUGUAGCGGUGAAAUGCGUAGAUAUCGAGAGGAACACCUGCGGCGAAGGCGGGUUGCUGGGCUGACACUGACGCUGGAGGCGCGAAAGCUAGGGGAGCGAACGGG
rnacentral:rRNA from 1 species